CGGACGGGUGAGUAAUGCUUAGGAAUCUGCCUAUUAGUGGGGGACAACAUUUCGAAAGGAAUGCUAAUACCGCAUACGUCCUACGGGAGAAAGCAGGGGAUCUUCGGACCUUGCGCUAAUAGAUGAGCCUAAGUCGGAUUAGCUAGUUGGUGGGGUAAAGGCCUACCAAGGCGACGAUCUGUAGCGGGUCUGAGAGGAUGAUCCGCCACACUGGGACUGAGACACGGCCCAGACUCCUACGGGAGGCAGCAGUGGGGAAUAUUGGACAAUGGGCGCAAGCCUGAUCCAGCCAUGCCGCGUGUGUGAAGAAGGCCUUAUGGUUGUAAAGCACUUUAAGCGAGGAGGAGGCUACUUUAGAUAAUACCUAGAGAUAGUGGACGUUACUCGCAGAAUAAGCACCGGCUAACUCUGUGCCAGCAGCCGCGGUAAUACAGAGGGUGCAAGCGUUAAUCGGAUUUACUGGGCGUAAAGCGCGCGUAGGCGGCUAAUUAAGUCAAAUGUGAAAUCCCCGAGCUUAACUUGGGAAUUGCAUUCGAUACUGGUUAGCUAGAGUGUGGGAGAGGAUGGUAGAAUUCCAGGUGUAGCGGUGAAAUGCGUAGAGAUCUGGAGGAAUACCGAUGGCGAAGGCAGCCAUCUGGCCUAACACUGACGCUGAGGUGCGAAAGCAUGGGGAGCAAAACAGGAUUAGAUACCCUGGUAGUCCAUGCCGUAAACGAUGUCUACUA
rnacentral:rRNA from 1 species